rnacentral:rRNA from 1 species
AUGGAUAGGCAAGGCAUUUCAUCUUCGGUCUACAACAACAAGGACGAGUUCAAUGCCGCGAACAACUCCACUGACACCAAGAUGCAAGCUCAAAUGGAGGAGAUCAAAGCCCUCAUCAAGUCCUACAAGCGGUCUUCCUCAUCUUCGAGAAGACGCUCAAGAGCACAUGCCUCCGAGCUACCAUCUCCGGCAAGGUCACAUCGGCAUCGACACCAUCACCACCACGAAUGUGAAGGUCAAGAGCUCAACACCAACAACCGCUCAAUGACUUCACCAUCACCCUUGGCAUGUUUGCCAAGCGACUUCAAGGCAUCUUCGCCUACGGACAUACGGCAUCUUCGCCCACAAGCACUUCAAGAGAAGCUCCCCAAGCUCAAGUCCGUGACUUCCAUGAGCUACUACGACCUCGACAUCGACCAUGAGAUCCUUUCUAUGGGACUCUAG